rnacentral:rRNA from 1 species
GAUGAACGCUGGCGGCGUGCCUAAUACAUGCAAGUCGAGCGAACAGACGAGGAGCUUGCUCCUCUGACGUUAGCGGCGGACGGGUGAGUAACACGUGGAUAACCUACCUAUAAGACUGGGAUAACUUCGGGAAACCGGAGCUAAUACCGGAUAAUAUAUUGAACCGCAUGGUUCAAUAGUGAAAGACGGUUUUGCUGUCACUUAUAGAUGGAUCCGCGCCGCAUUAGCUAGUUGGUAAGGUAACGGCUUACCAAGGCAACGAUGCGUAGCCGACCUGAGAGGGUGAGCGGCCAUACUGGAACUGAGACACGGUCCAGACUCCUACGGGAGGCAGCAGUAGGGAAUCUUCCGCAAUGGGCGAAAGCCUGACGGAGCAACGCCGCGUGAGUGAUGAAGGUCUUCGGAUCGUAAAACUCUGUUAUUAGGGAAGAACAAAUGUGUAAGUAACUAUGCACGUCUUGACGGUACCUAAUCAGAAAGCCACGGCUAACUACGUG